ensembl:lncRNA
AUGAUGUUGAGAAGACGCUGUGUUCAAGGAUACCACAGAAAUACAAUUCUAACCUUUUGUUGUGUGCAUGUCAUUUUACCAAGGACUUUUUAUCUUCGUUGGCUUCUAAUCUUCUUAAUUUGGACUAACAAGUUCUCCAAACCACAACCUUCCCAGUGGCCGAGUGCUGCAACAGUAAGAGCCAUCCAGGAUGAUGAUCCAGAAGUGAGAAAUGAGAUUACUGCUAAUACGAUUAUGGUAAAAACAGACGAAUGUCCAACCAGCAAACUUCUGAAUUAUUUCUCCAAAUGGGUAACUCUCAAAAGAAUUGUUGAGGUUUGUGUCUUCAUUGUGCACGUGCCGGGGGUUAAUGACACAGGAGCCUGCUUGUGUGAGAAGGAGGCGAUUUUCUCAGCUCCUUCAGAAGAGAGGGAAAAACGGUUCAGUCAAGUAAUGUUCAUAAUUCCAUCACGUUAUUAUUAUUAUUAUUAUUGUUAUUAUUAUUAUCUUUUUACUAAGAGUAAAGGAAUGUUUGGUUUUGUAGAUGUUGAAAGCCAGAGGCAUAGGAGAGCAUUAUUCUUUUGAGACUGAAUUCAAGUGAUUUUUAGAAAAUAAAUGUUUCCAUUUUGAUACAACAACAGUAUGAUUACGUGUUCAUAUUUUAUUUAAACCAUUGAUGUCUGUGUUUUUCAUUGCAGAACUCAAACCAACUUUGAAGUUGUCUGAUUUGGAGAGUCAUCAUUCUUGGUUAUUGUAGAAGUAAGCCAUGCCAAUAUAUAUAUAUAUAUAUAUAUAUAUAUAUAUAUAUUUAUAUAUAUAUAUAUAUAUAUAUAUAUAUAUAUACACACACACAUAUAUAUAUAUAUAUAUAUAUAUAUAUAUAUAUAUAUAUAUAUAUAUAUAUAUAUAUAUAUAUAUAUACUGUAUAUAUAUGAAUAAAUCUUAAAUUAUAUCAUAGCGAACAUGUCUGUUCAGAAGAAAAUAUUGGUCUCCCAGGCUUGUAUUUAAGAACAAAAAUUAAGAGAAGAUGAAUUAAAUUUGUUUGUAUUCCAAAAAUUGGCAGACUUUGUAUGCGUUUGGAACAACAUGGGGGAGAAUAAAUUGUGACCAUUGAGAACUAGCCCUUUAAAAAGCAGCCCUCCACGUACAUGAACAUUUGUUUGUUUUAAUGUUUCAGUAAAGAAGUAGCUUUCUGAAAGCAAUAUAUUUAUUUAAACAAUAUUACAUGCCCUCACACUAGUGCUGUCAUUAUAGCAUUCUAAAGCACUGUGGUAGAUGGAGACAGAGAAAUUAUAAAACAGACCAUUUACCUAUACUGAUCGUACUAUCUGAAAAUGGAUAGAUUUUAAUUAUUAUUAUUAUUAUUAUUAUUUUUUCAAAUGUUUUUUUCUUUUUAGGCCAUUGAUGAAGAACAGGCAGUGACUGGGAUGAAUGCUGGUCAAAGAAUAUAAUGUCCUUUCCCCCAAACUGAUGCAAUAGUGAUUUUAAUAUUGCUCUGUAUAAUGUAAAAGAUGUUACAUGCCUUUGCUGUGCUGAUGGGGCUUCUUCAUGACUACAUCAAUUAUCCUAAAGAGAUCAUGAAAAUUGACAGUGAUGCAGGACCUGUAUAUUUAUGGACUAUGAAACAAACUGUAAGUGUAUAGUUUGUAAAAACAAAAUAUUAAAUGAUUGUUCUGUUUAGUAGAAAUGGAGUUUACACUCUGUCAUUAAUUCACAUGCUCACAUUCUUUCACACAUAUGUUUCUAAUAAAUGUUAUACAAUCAGUCUUAAUGUUGUGGUUUAUUUACUGCCAUGCCAGAAUAUAAUAUAUAAAAUUUGCCAAAAAAAGUAAAAUUUGAUCUAUAAAAGUUAUGUUUAAUUUUUAAUUUAUAAACACUGUAGCUGUUAAUGCCAUUCUUUUCUGCAUUUGUUCUUAUAUGCAUGUUACUUUUGACUUUUCUCUUUUUGUUUUUAAAGGGGUCAUAUGAUGUUGCUAAAAAGAACAUUAUGUUAUGUAUUUGGUGUAAUGCAAUGUGUUUAUAUUGUUUAAGGUUCAAAAAACACAUUGUUUUCCAUAUACUGUACAUUAUUGUUGCUCCUCUAUGCCCCGCCUUUCUGAAAAGCAAGGUGUACGCUGAUUGGCCAGCUAUCCAGUGCGUUGUGAUUGGCUGCACACCUCAAGUGUGUGACGGAAAUGUUACGCCCCUUACAUACAGUGAUGCUGUCUCCCAGCGCGACCAGACAAAACCAAUAAAACCCAUUACAAACGAGACAUUUGUUGCAUCCAGUGGGGACAUAAUUGCUGAUUAUAAUGACUGUUUUUACGCGUUGUGUUGUGUAUCGUGCUGCAUAAACAUAAAACCAAGUCUGCAUUUGUGAUCAGUGAGAAAAGACAAACAACAAGUGCUACUCUACACUGCUUAAAACUCACGUUUGAAUCAUCAGUGGCAAAUUCUUUUAAUGUAAAACAUGUACUUACAGUCUGUGUGCAUCACACACUGCGGCCUUGAGUUAGUGAUGGGAAGUCCAGUUCCCUUUCAGUCGUUCACUCUCAACAUCAUGUCGGUGACUGACGAAUUGGGAUAUCACUUCGAUAGACCAAUCUACUUCGAGUGUAAACUAAAUGAGCCAAUGCACAUUGGCAUGAAAUUAUUGCAUCCAGUUGCCGCUGAUCACAAUGUGAGUAUAAGAAGGGAGCAGGUGCAAUGCAUACCAGCUUUUCCCUUCGAAGCCGAGCGACAGUAUCGUUCUG